GAUGAACGCUGGCGGCGUGCUUAACACAUGCAAGUCGAACGAUGAAGCCCAGCUUGCUGGGUGGAUUAGUGGCGAACGGGUGAGUAACACGUGAGUAACCUGCCCUUAACUCUGGGAUAAGCCUGGUAAACUGGGUCUAAUACCGGAUAGGAGCGUCCACCGCAUGGUGGGUGUUGGAAAGAUUUAUCGGUUUUGGAUGGACUCGCGGCCUAUCAGCUUGUUGGUGAGGUAAUGGCUCACCAAGGCGACGACGGGUAGCCGGCCUGAGAGGGUGACCGGCCACACUGGGACUGAGACACGGCCCAGACUCCUACGGGAGGCAGCAGUGGGGAAUAUUGCACAAUGGGCGCAAGCCUGAUGCAGCGACGCCGCGUGAGGGAUGACGGCCUUCGGGUUGUAAACCCCUUUCAGUAGGGAAGAAGCGAAAGUGACGGUACCUGCAGAAGAAGCACCGGCUAACUACGUG
rnacentral:rRNA from 1 species